UGGGGAAUCUUGCGCAAUGGGGGAAACCCUGACGCAGCGACGCCGCGUGGAGGAUGAAGGUCUUCGGGUUGUAAACUCCUUUUCUUGGGGAAAAUGAUGAUGGUACUCAAGGAAUAAGCCACGGCUAACUCUGUGCCAGCAGCCGCGGUAAGACAGAGGUGGCGAGCGUUGUUCGGAAUUACUGGGCUUAAAGGGCGAGUAGGCGGUAGAGCAAGUCUGAGGUGGAAUCCUAUGGCUUAACCAUAGAACUGCCUUAGAAACUGCUUUACUUGAGUCAGUGAGGGGAGGGCGGAAUUCCUGGUGUAGCGGUGAAAUGCGUAGAUAUCAGGAGGAAGGCCUGUGGCGAAAGCGGCCCUCUGGCACUGUACUGACGCUGAGGCGCGAAAGCGUGGGGAGCAAACAGGAUUAGAUACCCUGGUAGUCCACGCCCUAAACGGUGGGCAUUAGGUGUAGGGCUCGUAAGGGUUCUGUGCCGAAGGGAAACCAUUAAAUGCCCCGCCUGGGGAGUACGGCCGCAAGGUUG
rnacentral:rRNA from 1 species